UAACCUGCCCAAGAGACUGGGAUAACACCUGGAAACAGAUGCUAAUACCGGAUAACAACACUAGACGCAUGUCUAGAGUUUAAAAGAUGGUUCUGCUAUCACUCUUGGAUGGACCUGCGGUGCAUUAGCUAGUUGGUAAGGCAACGGCUUACCAAGGCAAUGAUGCAUAGCCGAGUUGAGAGACUGAUCGGCCACAUUGGGACUGAGACACGGCCCAAACUCCUACGGGAGGCAGCAGGC
rnacentral:rRNA from 1 species